rnacentral:rRNA from 1 species
AGAGUUUGAUCCUGGCUCAGAUUGAACGCUGGCGGCAGGCUUCAGACAUGCAAGUCGAGCGGAAACAGGCCGCUGUGAUCCCUUCGGGGUGAACUUGGUGCUGUCGAGCGGCGGACGGGUGAGUAACGCGUAGGAAUCUGCCCAGUAGAGGGGGAUAGCCCGAGGAAACUCGGAUUAAUACCGCAUACGCCCUACGGGGGAAAGCAGGGGAUCUUCGGACCUUGCACUAUUGGAUGGGCCUGCGUUGGAUUAGCUUGUUGGUAAGGUAAAGGCUUACCAAGGCGACGAUGGGUAGCGGGUUUGAGAGGACGAUCCGCCACACUGGAACUGAGACACGGUCCAGACUCCUACGGGAGGCAGCAGUGGGGAAUAUUGCACAAUGGAGGCAACUCUGAUGCAGCAAUGUCGCGUGAGUGAAGAAGGCCCUUGGGUCGUAAAGCUCUUUUAUGGGGGAAGAUGAUGACGGUACCCCAAGAAUAAGCACCGGCUAACUAUGUGCCAGCAGCCGCGGUAAUACAUAGGGUGCGAGCGUUGUUCGGAAUUACUGGGCGUAAAGGGCGCGCAGGCGGAAUAGUAAGUCGGAGGUGAAAGCCCGGGGCUCAACCCCGGAGGGUCUUUCGAAACUGCUAAUCUAGAGAGGGUCAGGGGCCGGCAGAAUUCCUGGUGUAGAGGUGAAAUUCGUAGAUAUCAGGAGGAAUACCGGUGGCGAAGGCGGCCGGCUGGGGCCACUCUGACGCUGAGGCGCGAAAGCGUGGGGAGCAAACAGGAUUAGAUACCCUGGUAGUCCAUGCCGUAAACGUUGGGCACUAGGUGUGGGGUCUCGCUAACAGAUUCCGUGCCGCAGCUAACGCAUUAAGUGCCCCGCCUGGGGAGUACGGCCGCAAGGCUAAAACUCAAAGGAAUUGACGGGGGCCCGCACAAGCGGCGGAGCAUGUUGCUUAAUUCGAGGCAACGCGAAGAACCUUACCUGGGUUUGACAUGUAGGGAAAAGCCAUAGAGAUAUGGUGUCCUUAGGGGCCCUACACAGGUGGUGCAUGGCUGUCGUCAGCUCGUGUCGUGAGAUGUUGGGUUAAGUCCCGCAACGAGCGCAACCCUUGUCCUAUGUUGCCAGCGGAUAAUGCCGGGGACUCGUAGGAGACUGCCGGGGUCAACUCGGAGGAAGGUGGGGACGACGUCAAGUCAUCAUGCCCCUUAUAUCCAGGGCUGCAAACAUGCUACAAUGGCCGGUACAGAGGGCUGCAAAACCGCGAGGUUGAGCGAAUCCCACAAAGCCGGUCUCAGUUCGGAUUGGAGUCUGCAACUCGACUCCAUGAAGGCGGAGUCGCUAGUAAUCCCGGAUCAGCAACGCCGGGGUGAAUACGUUCCCGGGCCUUGUACACACCGCCCGUCACACCACGAAAGUUGGCAACACCCGAAGUCAGUGGCCCAACUCUUUGAGAGGGAGCUGCCGAAGGUGGGGUUGGCGAUUGGGGUGAAGUCGUAACAAGGUAACC